rnacentral:tRNA from 32 species
UUGGGAUAGCUCAGUUGGUAG